CCUACGGGAGGCAGCAGUGGGGAAUAUUGGACAAUGGGGGGAACCCUGAUCCAGCCAUGCCGCGUGUGUGAAGAAGGCCCUCGGGUUGUAAAGCACUUUCAGUGAGGAAGAACGCCUGGUGGUUAAUACCCAUCAGGAAAGACAUCACUCACAGAAGAAGCACCGGCUAACUCCGUGCCAGCAGCCGCGGUAAUACGGAGGGUGCGAGCGUUAAUCGGAAUUACUGGGCGUAAAGCGCGCGUAGGUGGCUUGAUAAGCCGGUUGUGAAAGCCCCGGGCUCAACCUGGGAACGGCAUCCGGAACUGUCAAGCUAGAGUGCAGGAGAGGAAAGUAGAAUUCCCGGUGUAGUGGUGAAAUGCGUAGAGAUCGGGAGGAAUACCAGUGGCGAAGGCGGCCUUCUGGACUGACACUGACACUGAGGUGCGAAAGCGUGGGUAGCAAACAGGAUUAGAUACCCGUGUAGUC
rnacentral:rRNA from 1 species